rnacentral:rRNA from 1 species
UACGAAGGGGGCUAGCGUUGCUCGGAAUUACUGGGCGUAAAGCGCACGCAGGUGGCUGAGUCAGUCGAUUGUGAAAGCCCUGGGCUUAACCUGGGAAUUGCAGUCGAUACUACUCAGCUAGAGUAUGGGAGAGGGUAGUGGAAUUCCCGGUGUAGCGGUGAAAUGCGUAGAUAUCGGGAGGAACAUCAGUGGCGAAGGCGGCUACCUGGCCCAAUACUGACACUCAGGUGCGACAGCGUGGGGAGCAAAUAGG